UACGUAGGGCGCAAGCGUUGUCCGGAAUUAUUGGGCGUAAAGAGCUCGUAGGCGGCCUGUUGCGUCCGCUGUGAAAUCCCGGGGCUCAACCUCGGAACUGCAUCCGAUACUGGCAUGCUGGAGAAUUGGAGAGGAGUCUAGAAUUCACGGUGUAGCAGUGAAAUGCGUAGAUAUCGUGAGGAAUACCAAGUGCGAAGGCAGGACUCUGGACAUUUUCUGACGCUGAGACACGAAGGCUAGGGGAGCAAACGGG
rnacentral:rRNA from 1 species